rnacentral:rRNA from 1 species
CACGUAGGGUGCGAGCGUUGUCCGGAAUUAUUGGGCGUAAAGAGCUCGUAGGCGGUGUGUCACGUCGGCCGUGAAAACCUGCAGCUUAACUGUGGGCGUGCGGUUGAUACGGGCAUCACUGGAGUUCGGCAGGGGAGACUGGAAUUCCUGGUGUAGCGGUGAAAUGCGCAGAUAUCAGGAGGAACACCGGUGGCGAAGGCGGGUCUCUGGGCCGAUACUGACGCUGAGGAGCGAAAGCGUGGGGAGCGAACAGG